ensembl:lncRNA
CACCCACUCCGGCCUUACCCACAAGCCCAGCCCUGCCCCAAAGGCCAGCCCGGCCUGCCAUGUCCCUGUGUCCACUCUGGGGAGUCCCCGAGAGAGCUCAGGGUUGGGGCUGGCACUGGCCUGGGAGAGGCCUUAGAGUUGCAUCUGGAGCUGACAGAGGACAUCAUCAGCAAGUUCCUGACUAAGCCGCACUUCCACUGCCAUCAGGACACUGUGCACUGAGCACCGGGCCAGAGAAACGUCGCGCUCCUAAAAGGAGGCUUCCCCAGACACUGGAGCCCAAGCCCAAGAGCGCCCGUUUCCUGAGCUGCUUCCCUACAUCAGGCCCUGGCCUGAGCCCAGGCCUUCUGACCCCACAGUAAGUGAAAUGAGAAAAGAUCUUCAGCUCCAGUCUCAUAAAUCAAGGGGAAUACAAAGAGAGGAGGAAACAAAGAAAUCACAGCCGCUUGGAAAGAGAUGGGCUUGCGUGGCCUGCAUAGGAGAAAGCCGGGCCAGGAACCGACAGAGGGUCCUGGGAGCGAAUCUUCCCUUCUUUCCUCCAGCUGGGGAUCCUGGCCCAGGAGCUGUCCCUCCUCCUGCCACCGUGCUGGGUGAGAGGCUGGAGUCUCUGUAGCUUGGGGUGGCUGACAUCUGGGACCUCUCGUCCUUGUCCCUUCUGGAGGCACCUUCCC